CCUACGGGAGGCCACAGUGAGGAAUAUUGGUCAAUGGACGCCAGUCUGAACCAGCCAUGCCGCGUGCAGGAAGACGGCUCUAUGAGUUGUAAACUGCUUUUGUACGAGGGUAAAUCCCGAUACGUGUAUCGGGUUGAAAGUAUCGUACGAAUAAGGAUCGGCUAACUCCGUGCCAGCAGCCGCGGUACUACGGAGGAGUCACGCGUUAUCCGGAUUUAUUGGGGUUUAAGGGUGCUGAGGGGGUUCGAUAAGUUAGAGGUGAAAUCCCGGGGCUCAACUCCGGCACUGCCUGUGAUACUGGCGGUCUAGAGUGUAGGUGAGGUAUGCGGAAUGGAUGGUGGAGCGGUGAAAUGCAUAGAGAUCAUACAGAACACCGAUUGCGAAGGCAGCUUACCAAAAUACGACUGACGUUGAGGCACGAAAGCGUGGGUAGCAAACAGGAUUAGAUACCCUAGUAGUC
rnacentral:rRNA from 1 species